UACGUAGGUGGCAAGCGUUGUCCGGAAUUAUUGGGCGUAAAGCGCGCGCAGGCGGUUAUGUAAGUCUGAUGUUAAAGCCCGAGGCUCAACCUCGGUUCGCAUUGGAAACUGUGUAACUUGAGUGCAGAAGAGGAAAGUGGUAUUCCACGUGUAGCGGUGAAAUGCGUAGAGAUGUGGAGGAACACCAGUGGCGAAGGCGACUUUCUGGUCUGUAACGGACGAUGAGGCGCGAAAGCGUGGGGAGCAAACAGG
rnacentral:rRNA from 1 species